rnacentral:snRNA from 1 species
GUGCUAGACGCUUCAAUAGCACGUACACUAAAACCUGAAUGAUACAGAGAUUAGCAUGGCCCCUGCACAAGGAUGACACACAAAUUCAGAGAAGUGUUCCAUAUUUCU